AUCUCUUGAAAGAAACAACACGCUUUUUCAGAGGGGCAACCUCAUCCAGAAUAGAUGCAAAAGCAGCAUUAUAUUGGUCAACCGAGGCCACAACCGAUCUCAGUUCAGUU